rnacentral:misc_RNA from 1 species
UCUCCGUUGGUGAACCAGCGGAGGGAUCAUUGCUGGAACGCGCCCCAGGCGCACCCAGAAACCCUUUGUGAACUUAUACCUAUUGUUGCCUCGGCGCUAGCUGGCCUCUGUGAGGUCCCUUGGAGACAAGGAGCGGCGCGCCGGCGGCCAACCAAACUCUGUUUCUUAGUGAAUCUCUGAGUAAAAAACAAAUGAAUCAAAACUUUCAACAACGGAUCUCUUGGUUCUGGCAUCGAUGAAGAACGCAGC